UCCUACUCCCUACGCUUCCACCUCAUCCUUCAUCAAUCAUCAUCAUUAUCAUCAUCAUGCCUUGCCGUACUCGGUGCAUGAAUGAGAGAGUAGGGUAGGAAGCACUUGUGUCGAUGCAUGCAUGAAGAAAUCAGGAAGAGGAUGAGGAUCCAAUAUAGCCAUAGAAUUGGGCGGUAGAGCAACAUCCUGACAGGAGAGGACACGCCCAUAACCAAAUCAAACCAAACCAAACCAACCACAGAAAGAUUUGGCAACUUCUACAUGUGGGCGAAGGAGAGAUUGUUUUACCUGUUCUGCGGUAACGGAGGUAACCCAUUACCCUAUUUUACCCCUCUUCCAAUUCCCUACACGACUCGUUUUUCUGCAACACAAAACAACAGAGGAAUCUCUUCGGUGGUGGGGUGAGGUUUUGUGGUAGGGCGCCGAAAGUAGUGUUCUAGCCCUCCCAAUAAUGUGAAAAGCUUUAGAAAGUUGUUUCACUUGUCAAACUUGCUAAAACUAUUCGAUCAAGAACAGGUUUUUGUUUUUCUUCUCCAAUCUGCAAAUGCUUUUGGCAACUGUGACUGGGCUGGGGGAAUCCGCGAUGUGGGUUAAGAGCCAGAUCUGAAGUUUUGUGUGUUGGGGUGUUUCUGGGGUCGAAUCCGUGACCGUCGGGAUUCUAUCGGAAGUUGGUCGGCAAUUGAAGCGGUUGUAACUCGAAACUGUGAGCAUGGCGAAAAUAAUUCGUUUUCGACAAGUGUCUGUUGGGCGAUCCAUGACGGGGCUUUAUUUACAGGGUUAGGUUUAGGUUUUAGAUUUUGUUCGUUUUGGAGCAUUGUUAAUAGAUUCCUCGGGAGUAAACCUGAUGGAAAUUUGGGGGUUUUUCUCACGGUCGGUAAUUAGAUUUUGAGGCACGGGAAGUCAAGGUAUUAUAUAUUGACGAUCUUGAGAAUUAGUCGUUGGGGAUCGAAAUAGAGAGUAGAUAAAGGUGGGAUAUGGAGGCGAUGGAUGCAUGUGUUUCUCCUUCUCCUUGCAGCUUUCUAGAUGAGAGUGCGGCGGGGAUGCCCUCGCGACGACGCCUGUCAGAUAUUAGGCGAUUGAAGGUGCUCUCCAACAGCAGCAGUUUUUCCGAUGCCGUGAAGAAGCAGUCCCGCAGCAGGAAUGCAGCCCACUUGUGCAGUGUUUGUUUCGGCGAGGAGGUGUCAUCCACCGCAGACUCUACAAAUACCAUGGAAAUUGUACUCCACUCUCAGGCUCUUUACCCUUCAAGAAGGCUUGUGAGGUCAGUCUCUACGCCUACUGCCUGGAAAGGGGGCUUGUUUUGCACUUGCAAUAUCAACAAAUUCUACAUCAGCACCAACAGCAGCACUACUAAUGACACUAGUGUUGUUACAUCGGAUGCAGAGCCUAUGCUUAAAGAUUUGAAAGGGGAGAUGCCAAUCAACAUGCCAGAGAGUAAAACGCAAGCAAGCGUUGGUCCUCUUGCUGGUGAUGGGAGAAACGGGGCCUGUAAAGGUGCUAGUGUCGCUUCUACUGUAACAGAAAAAGUUGAUAUUAAAGUAGUUGUUGAGGAGCCCGAACAGCAGAAAACUAUUCCACCGAGGAGGCCUUCAAAGGGCUUAGCUUUGCCCAGGGCCAACAGCGAGAGUAUAAGCUUGCUAUUGAAGGACCCGUGCCCUCCCCACGGGACCAUGUCAGUCAUUGGUAGAAGACGUGAAAUGGAAGAUGCUGUUGCAGCCGUGCCUUCAUUCUUUUCUCUCCCCAAGCCCACAGUACUGUUGCAGAACAGCCUUACUGGAUUCGCAGCCCCUGCGCCUACUCCUCUCCACUUUUUUGGUGUCUAUGAUGGCCAUGGCGGAUCGCAGGCUUCAAUAUAUUGUAAAAACCGUUUUCAUGAGGCUCUAGCUGAGGAGUUGAGAGAUGCAUCUUCAUUUUCCAGAGACUUAAGUUAUUGGAGCGAAGUCAUGUCUGCUUGCUUCAUGAAAAUGGAUAUGGCAGUUGGAGGUAUGUGUCCAAAUGGAGGCUGCAGUAGUAAUGGGGAUGUACAAAUGAUUAAUGAUUGCUGCCAAAAUCCAGUUGCACCUGAAAAUGUGGGUUCUACGGCUGUUAUAGCUGUUGUGAGCCCAACUCAAGUUGUUAUUGCAAAUUGUGGGGAUUCUAGGGCAGUAUUAUCAAGGGGAGGCAAAGCAAUCCCUUUGUCUAACGACCAUAAGCCUGAACGAGAGGAUGAAAUGGGCCGUAUUGAAGCCGCUGGCGGACGUGUUAUUUAUUGGAAUGGAUAUCGUGUUGGAGGCUUUCUCGCCAUGUCCAGGGCCCUAGGAGAUCGAUUCUUGAAACGGUAUGUGAUAUCUGAACCUGAAGUAAUAUGUACAGAGCGGACUAAUGAAGAUGAAUGCCUCAUUCUUGCUAGUGAUGGAUUAUGGGAUGUUCUAUCAAAUGAUACUGUUUGUGAAGUUGCUAGAAAAUGUCUUGCUGGAUUUAGACCUCACCGUUCAAAGGGUAUUACAGAAGAUACUCCUGUUGGUGCAGCCGCUGCUCUUCUUACAAAAUUGGCUUUAGGACGGGGAAGUGGAGAUAACAUCAGCGUAGUUGUGAUUGAUUUGAAAGAAAGAAGAAACAGAAACAGAUGAUAGUUCUGUUAGAGAUACAUAUUUACAUAUACAUAUAUCACUGAUGUAAACAAAAUGCAGGUCAUUGGUUAUAACUUAUAGCCCCUGGUGAUCUGUUGAAUUGUUCCAUUUUUAAGAGUUGUGAUUCAUAGGAGGGGGAAUGGGGACGGCGAGGCUUUGUAUAAUUGUGAUUCUUUUCACCAACCGGAGAGAUGCUUUUUCCUCAUUCAUGUAAAUGAAUGAAUGAGCUAACCAUCUAGUCAAAAGGUGCUCGUAUUAUUUGUGUCUCCUGCACUUGGGGAUAUUACUUUGUGAUGACAAUAUAAAUCCAUUGUUGGAGUACACAUGAGAUCUGCAAAGACGGACGUCCACUCUCACCUGUUAUUCUAUUGAGAGGAAGGACUGAAAUGAUCAACUAGAUAUUUCAGCAUCAUUCUGUGAUAUUCAUAGACUUGGUGUAAAUCUGAUCUAGAUUAAACGAGAGUGGUUUUCAACACUUUCAAAUUGACGGCAAAGCAAAUGUGCCUUAUAUACAGAGGCGAAAAGAUUGAGGUGCUACACAUGCAUAUUUAGGGGUGUUUUUCAGUGGUCCAUAUUUAAGCUUGAUCUCAAUAUUAAAUUCCAGAUUAAGGAAUCUGCAUUCCUAAGCAACUCCAAGAAGACUGCUUGCGGCUUUACUUUGAAGACAUUUUGACAAGAGAAUAUAUUUUUUUUGAUUUUGUAAUUGCAUCUUCUCUCCUAUAUGGGGUUGAGGUUUGGGGGCCUUUGAGAAAGCGGGUUGUGAUCAGCCACAUAUUUCUGUUCUUGAUGAUAUCCAAACAUAUGCAAGUCAAGAGCUCAGCUCGUCAAUAUCGUUCUUAAAUAGUGAUAUAGUGUCAUCUAUAAGAAUUCGCUAGGUGGUGAUUAUAAUACACAUUGGUGAACUCUCAAAUUGGUAUUUUUAAUAUUCAUGUUCUGUAUUCAGAUCCUUGAUGCAACAGGUGCAUCAUGUGACUACUCGGUGGUUUGCUAAAAGCCUCUUCAUUUCUAGAUCUAAUAGGUAUUGACAUUGAAAGGCUUCUAACUUAUUUUCUAAGAAACGUAUUAGAUUACAUUGAAAGGCUUCCUACUUAUUUUCUAAGAAACGUAUUUAGAUUUACAAAUCCUGCCUAUGGUCCCUACAGAUUUAGCCUCAAUGAAGUUUCAACACUAUAUCGCAGUUCAUACUGCCCUUGUAAGGAUGGGUUCUCUGGAGUCUGGACUACUAUUUACUACCCCCAUUGUUGUGUUUUUUUUGGCAAUUUUAGGGUUUGUGCACAUCAAUUUUGAAACAAGAUAGAUAACCACGAUUCAGGGGAACAUUGUACUUAUUAGAAUUGUUCCAUAAAACUGAAGUUAUUGGAUCAAUUUGUAUUCAGAUGUUAUUCUUACUAUGGGAUCAAGGGAUGACUCUUUUGUUGCUUUGGAAAGAGAACUUGGAGGGCUUCAUAACCAAACAAAGGCCAGAGUUGCUUUUCACUUUUUUUUCAAGAGAUCUUCAACCUAAGCAUCGUACUCGUGAGAAUUGUUCCUCAGAGUUGGAAUCCUUAGAUCAUUUUGUAUUUAAACACUCUCCUUAUAAUGGGAUCAAGUGAUUCAUGGCUUUUAGAAUUUUGAGUAUUCCCUUUUGGGCUUUCAUGACCUACAAGUCCUAGAGAUGCCUUGCAUUUCUCUUUGAAAAGAUCUUCAACCUUUCCGACUGUUUUGCUGUCAAGGUUUUCUCAAUGAUAACAAUAGAAUGAUUAUUUAUUUGUUUGUAA